GGGCCCCGGGGCUGCUGAGUUUGCAGUUGUUUGUGGGAUAAUGAUGAGCCACUCAAUGAGCUUGCAUUCUGACGAACUGGUUGGACCAGAGGCUGAGAGUGAGACUGUUGCUGCGAGCUGGGAGGGAUGUGGCAUCUGAGAUGAGUAGAAAGACCCAUUAUAGAAAGGCAAUGCUGAGGCAGAACUUCCACCUCUGAUUGCUGGCGGGUUUCCAAUGGGAGUGGAAAUAGGGAAUGAGUAACCAUUGUUAGGAAGUAUUGUCAAGUAUGAGGCUUUAUUUUCUGCCAAAUUUGGGUAACUAAAUCUCAAAGCUGCAGCUACUGCUGGCAAUGCUGAAGAAUUUGUUGGAACUCCGGCUAUUGCAUUACCAGAUAAUGAUGUGUUGUUGACAGAGGCGGCAGAUUUAG
rnacentral:misc_RNA from 1 species